GCGGACUGAGGGGACGGAGGGGGUGGAGCCGCACUAAUCAUCCAAUAGGAGGGCGUGUCAGCAACGGUGGGUGGGACCGCGCUGCCCUGAGGCGCUAGAACCGUGCCCGCCGGCGGGUACUGCUUCCGGCGCCUAUCUUGCUGCCUCCCACUGCGUUGCCUCAGGUCGCUCUGCCUCUGCCACGGGAGAGGAUGAUGGGACACCCGGGGGCCUGGCAAUGGACACAGUGGCCCUUGAGGAUGUGUCUGUGGACUUCACCCUGGAGGAGUAGACUUUGCUGGACCCCUUCCAGAAGAAAUUCUACAGAGAUGUGAUGCUGGACACGUUCCAGAACCUGGCCACUAUAGGUAAGGGUGACAGCGUGCUUUCAGUAAGAGAGCAGUAUUUCUUUCUUAUCCAGAAGGGGAAUGCUAUGUCGGGUUUUGGCUGUGGGAAGGUGAUCUGUUUAUUAGAUGAACCAGGCAUGGCUACAGCUCAUUGUAAGCUUUGUCAGAAGGUAAACUAAGAAUGAAACUUUAAAAAAAUUACUUGAGCAAUCAGCAGUUUCUGAGUUGGGAAGCACCAGACUGGAGAUAGUUCCAGCUCUGCCAAGGGAACACAAGGGGAAGCUUUUAUACAGGAAACAUAGAAGCAAAGCAAAGAAAUAUUUGAUUGAUGGCUAUUAUACAGUAGUCUUAUUUGCUCUAUCCAGCUUUAAAAAAAUCCCCAGUAGGGGCUGGGGAUUUAGCUCAGUGGUUUCGUCGCCUGCUGCACAAGGACCCAAGUUUGAUCCCCCGUACCAAAAAUAAAUAAAUAAAAAUAAAAAUAAAGUAAAAUGAACUAAUAUUUUUAAAUGUUGUUUAACUUCUACCAUAGUAAAUAUUAGUUAAUAUAAUAACAUAAUAAAAACACUAUUUGGGUUCAGUAAUUUUUAAAUGUGCAAAAGGGUCGACUUGAAGCCAAAGAGUUAGGUACCACUGCCUUUGAAAAAUAGUAACACAUUAAAAAAAAUUUAGAAAUUAGACAAUAAGAACAUUAAGAGAGACUGCAGGAGUAUCUUGGAUCCUCUAUGGUUCUACAAGGCUAUGACUUACAAUGUUUUGGUACCGGGGAUUGAACCCGGGACCUUGCGCUUUCAAGGCAGGCAGCAGAACCACUGAGCUAAAUCCCCAACCUUACUUACAGUGUUUUAAAAAGUGCAACAAAUGUUCUUGAAGUGAGGUGGAAAACUACCGAGAAUGUAAAAAUUGUUGGCUAAUAAUUGAAUCAAAUUAACUUAGUGUUUUCCCAUGCUUGUCAUAAGCUGGUUAACAUUGAGGGGAAACUAGAGAACUUGAUUAUUUAACGUAAUUUGAUAGAUAAAACAUCUUUGCAACAUUAGACUUGGGGGGAAAAAUAACAAAAGCAAAGGUGGGAGGGCAGGGGAAUGGGAAAAAAAAUAAGAACCAAGAUAUAUCGUGUAAAGGUAUAGAUCCCCAAUGAGGAAUGUCAUGAUACUGUAUACCUAAAACGUACCAACGAAAUUAAUGAAAACAAAGCAUGGGUGGAAUCUUUGGUGUUAUAAAAGUUAGAAACUAGAGUGUUUUCUGACUCAGAGUAUUUUACUUUUGUGGCUAUAGUUUUUAAAGCAUUUCAAUUGGAAUUUCCCAAUCCUGAGGUUCUUUUAGAAAAAGGGCAUUUUAGCCAGUUGGUUUGGGUGGGGCCUGGCAAAGCUUUUUUAAAAGCUCCUGGUAAUCUGUUGUGCACAGUUAAGAAUGACAAAAUUGGUAACCUGGAAUGGAGAAUCUUCUGUAAGGGAUUUUUCUCCUGCAUUUUGGAAGCCACUGAAUUUAAUAAAUUGUAAUCGUUUUCCA